rnacentral:rRNA from 1 species
UACGGAGGAUCCGAGCGUUAUCCGGAUUUAUUGGGUUUAAAGGGUGCGUAGGUGGAUUGGUAAGUCGGCGGUGAAAUUUUGCAGCUCAACUGUAAAAGUGCCUUCGAAACUGGUUUCCUUGAGUAUAGUUGAAGUAGGCGGAAUGUGUAAUGUAGCGGUGAAAUGCUUAGAUAUUACACAGAACACCAAUUGCGAAGGCAGCUUACUAAGCUGUUACUGACGCUGAGGCACGAAAGCGUGGGGAGCAAACAGGAUUAGAUACCCGGGUAGUCCCUGAG